UCUGGUGAUGAUGGCGAAGAGGUCACACCCGUUCCCAUGCCGAACACGGAAGUUAAGCUCUUCAGCGCCGAUGGUAGUCGGGGGUUUCCCCCUGUGA
rnacentral:rRNA from 1 species